AGGGUCACACCUCCUGAAAGUGAUAAAUCGGGGGGCGUGACAGAGGUGGUAUCAGAGCAUUAUUUGAGGAUCACUAUAAGAUAGUUGAUACAUUUGAUUUGCAAAAUUAUAUUAAGAUUUAGUAAAUUAAAUUGAAAUCGAUGAAAAUUUUCUUUGAUAUCUUUUAGGGAUCUAGGAUGCAUCUGGUCGUCUCGAGGAAUGAAGUACGAAUGGCAGUGAUGUCGAAUUUUUAAAUUUUACUAGUUGGCUUAUUGACAUUUGGGAUGGAUUUUAUGAUGUGGUUUCGUUUAGAUGAGUUGGCUUUGGAUUUUAUGAAUCUUUGAGUGUUGUGUCGUAUGAUUAUAACUACCAAGUCUUAUGAAUUGUGUAUUAUGGGUGUGAAUUAUGACUUGAAUGAUUUUUAGUGUCCUCAAAUUUAGUAUGGAUUUCGUAUUAGAUUGUUGACUGAAUUUUCAUAUUAUGGAUUUUAGGACAGGGUCACACCUCCUGAAUGUGAUAAAUCGGGGGGCGUGACAGAGGUGGUAUCAGAGCAUUAUUUGAGGAUCACUAUAAGAUAGUUGAUACAUUUGAUUUGCAAAAUUAUAUUGAGAUUUAGUAAAUUACAUAGAAAUAGAUGAAAAAUUUCUUUGAUAUCUUUUAGGGAUCUAGGAUGCAUCUGGUCGUCUUGAGGAAUGAAGUACGAUUGGCAGGGAAGUCGAAUUUUUAAAUUUUAGAGGAUGGCUUAUUGACAUUUGUGAUGGAUUUUAUGAUGUAGUUUCGUUUAGGUGAGUUGACUUUGGAUUUUAUGAAUCUUUGAGUGUUGUGUCGUAUGAUUAUAACUGCCAAGUCUUAUGUAUUGUAGGAUUAUGGUUGUGAAUUAUGACUUGAAUGAUUUUUAGUGUCCUCAAAUUUAGUUAGGAUUUCGUAUUAGAUUGUUGACUGAAUUUUAAUAAUAUGGAUUUUAAGACAGGGUCAAAUCUCGUGAAUGUGAUAAAUCGGGUGGCGUGACAGAGGUGGUAUCAGAGCAUUAUUUGAGGAUCACUAUAAGAUAGUAAAUACAUUUGAUUUGCUAAAUUAUAUUGAGAUUUAGUAAAUUAUAUAGAAAUCGUUGAAAAUUUUGUUUGAUAUCUUUUAGGGAUCUAGGAUGCAUCUGGUCGUCUCGAGGAAUGAAGUACGAAUGGCAGUGAUGUCGAAUUUUAAAAUUUUAGAGGAUGGCUUAUUGACAUUUGGGAUGGAUUUUAUGAUGUGGUUUCGUUUAGAUGAGUUGGCUUUGGAUUUUAUGAAUCUUUGAGUGUUGUGUCGUAUGAUUAUAACUACCAAGUCUUAUGAAUUGUGGAUUAUGGGUGUGAAUUAUGACUUAAAUGAUUUUUAGUGUCCUCAAAUUUAUAUGGAUUUCGUAUUAGAUUGUUGACUGAAUUUUAAUAAUAUGGAUUUUAAGACAGCGUCACACCUCCUGAAUGUGAUAAAUCGGGGGGCGUGACAGAGGUGGUAUUAGAGCAUUAUUUGAGAAUCACUAUAAGAUAGUUGAUACAUUUGAUUUGUAAAAUUAUAUUGAGAUUUAGUAAAUUAUAUAGAAAUCGAUGAAAAUUUUCUUUGAUAUCUUUUAGGUUUCUAGGAUGCAUCUGGUCGUCUCGAGGAAUGAAGUACGAAUGGCAGUGAUGUCGAAUUUUUAAAUUUUAGAGGAUGGCUUAUUGACAUUUGGGAUGGAUUUUAUGAUGUGGUUUCGUUUAGAUGAGUUGACAUUGGAUUUUAUGAAUCUAUGAGUGUUGUGUCGAAUGAUUAUAACUACCAAGUCUUAUGAAUUAUGGAUAAUGGGUGUGAAUUAUGACUUGAAUGAUUUUUAGUGUCCUCAAAUUUAGUUUGGAUUUCGUAUUAUAUUGUUGACUGAAUUUUAAUAUUAUGGAUUUUAAGACAGGGUCACACCUCCUGAAUGUGAUAAAUCGGGGGGCGUGACAGAGGUGGUAUCAGAGCAUUAUUUGAGGAUCACUAUAAGAUAGUUAAUACAUUUGAUUUGCAAAAUUAUAUU
rnacentral:lncRNA from 1 species